rnacentral:rRNA from 1 species
UACGUAGGCAGCAAGCGUUGUUCGGAGUUACUGGGCGUAAAGGGUGUGUAGGCGGUUGGAUAAGUGUGGUGUGAAAUCUCCCGGCUCAACUGGGAGGGUGCGCUACAAACUGUCUGACUAGAGUGUGGGAUGGGAAAGUGGAAUUCCUGGUGUAGCGGUGAAAUGCGUAGAUAUCGGGAGGAACACCAGUGGCGAAGGCGACUUCCUGGCCUGUUCUUGACGCUGAGGCGCGAAAGCUAGGGGAGCAAACGGGG